CCUACGGGUGGCAGCAGUGAGGAAUAUUGGUCAAUGGGCGAGAGCCUGAACCAGCCAAGUCGCGUGAGGGAGUACUGCCCUAUGGGUUGUAAACCUCUUUUGUCGGGGAGCAAAAGCCGGACGUGUCCGGCUGUGAGAGUACCCGAAGAAAAAGCAUCGGCUAACUCCGUGCCAGCAGCCGCGGUAAUACGGAGGAUGCGAGCGUUAUCCGGAUUUAUUGGGUUUAAAGGGUGCGCAGGCGGAUUUUUAAGUCUGCGGUAAAAUCGUGGGGCUCAACCCCAUCCAGCCGUUGAAACUGGGGAUCUAGAGUGUGCGAGAGGUAUGCGGAAUGCGUGGUGUAGCGGUGAAAUGCAUAGAUAUCACGCAGAACCCCGAUUGCGAAGGCAGCAUACCGGUGCACAACUGACGCUCAGGCACGAAAGCGUGGGUAUCGAACAGGAUUAGAUACCCUGGUAGUC
rnacentral:rRNA from 1 species